rnacentral:rRNA from 1 species
UGGGGAAUCUUCCGCAAUGGGCGAAAGCCUGACGGAGCGCGCCGCGUGAGAGAAGACGGUCUUCGGGUUGUAAAGCUCUGUUAUACGGGACGAAUAAUCUUGUGGUUAAUACCCAUAAGAAGUGAAGGUACCGUAAAAGAAAGCCGCGGCUAACUACGUGCCAGCAGCCGCGGAAAUACGUAGGUGGCAAGCGUUGUCCGGAAUUAUUGGGCGGAAAGGGGCGGGGGGUCUUCUUAUUAGGUNUGUUUUGCGGGGGUGACNNUUAACCCCGGGAUGGUUUGAAACCUGUAAAGCUCAGAGAAUCGGAGAAGAAAGCGUAAUUCCUAGCGUAGCGGUGAAAUGCGUAUAUAUUAGGAGGAACACCAGUGGCGAAAGCGGCCUUCUGGACGAAAACUGACGCUGAGGCGCGAAAGCCGAAUUAGCGAACGGGAUUAGAUACCCCGGUAGUCCUGGCCGUCGUUUUACANUACUAGGUGUAGGAGGUAUCGACCCCUUCUGUGCCGGAGUUAACGCAAUAAGUACCCCGCCUGGGGGAGUACGGCCGCAAGGUUG